UACGUAGGGUGCAAGCGUUAAUCGGAAUUACUGGGCGUAAAGCGUGCGCAGGCGGUUAUGUAAGACAGGUGUGAAAUCCCCGGGCUUAACCUGGGAACUGCAUUUGUGACUGCAUAGCUAGAGUACGGUAGAGGGGGAUGGAAUUCCGCGUGUAGCAGUGAAAUGCGUAGAUAUGCGGAGGAACACCGAUGGCGAAGGCAGCCCCCUGGGUCAAGACUGACGCUCAUGCACGAAAGCGUGGGGAGCAAACAGG
rnacentral:rRNA from 1 species